rnacentral:misc_RNA from 1 species
GAUGAAGAACGUAGCGAAAUGCGAUACGUAAUGUGAAUUGCAGAAUUCAGUGAAUCAUCGAAUCUUUGAACGCAUAUUGCGCUCUCUGGUAUUCCGGAGAGCAUGCUUGUUUGAGUAUCAGUAAACACCUCAACUUCCAUAUCUUUUUUGAAAUGGGAGUUGGACUUGAGUGAUCCCAACGCUUUUCCUCACCGAAAAGUGGCGGGUUACUUGAAAUGCAGGUGCAGCUGGACUUUUCUCUGAGCUAUAAGCAUAUAUAUUUAGUCUGCCUAAAAAACAGAUUAUUACCUUUGCUGCAGCUAACAUAAAGGAGAUUAGUUCUUGUGCUGACUGAUGCAGGAUUCACAAAGACAGGCUUCGGCCGACUUUGUAAACUCGAUCUCAAAUCAAGUAAGACUACCCGCUGAACUUAAGCAUAUCAAUAAGCGGAGGA